rnacentral:rRNA from 1 species
CGGCCAGACUCCUACGGGAGGCAGCAGUGGGGGAUAUUGCACAAUGGGGGGAACCCCGAUGCAGCGACGCCGCGUGGGUGAAGGAGCGUUUCGGCGCGUAAAGCCCUAUCGGCAGGGAAGAAGAUAACGGUACCUGACCAAGAAGCCCCGGCUAACUACGUGCCAGCAGCCGCGGGAAUACGUAGGGGGCGAGCGUUAUCCGGAUUGACUGGGUGUAAAGGGAGCGUAGACGGCCAUGCAAGCCAGGGGUGAAAGCCCGGGGCCCAACCCCGGGACUGCAUUUGGAACUGCGUGGCUUGAGUGUCGGAGAGGCAGGCGGAAUUCCUAGUGUAGCGGUGAAAUGCGUAGAUAUUAGGAGGAGCACCAGUGGCGAAGGCGGCCUGCUGGACGAUGACUGACGUUGAGGCUCGAAAGCGUGGGGAGCAAACAGGAUUAGAUACCCUUGUACU